GGAUUGACACAUCGGUCGUGCCUUAAGGGGUAUGAACUGGUGUAGUCAAUUUCUCACCUUCUGGAGAACCGCGAUGUCCUUAAUUGGGUGCCGCGAGGAACCAGGACCUUUACUUUGAAAAAAUUAGAGUGUUCAAAGCAGGCCUUUGCUCGAAUACAUUAGCAUGGAAUAAUAAAAUAGGACGGCAUGGUUCUAUUUUGUUGGUUUCUAGGAUCACCGUA
rnacentral:rRNA from 1 species